GGCUGGCUGGCAGUCGAUCGAGGGGUGGCCCCCGGCCACCCAAGCCGGCCACCCCCUCCGGCCACCUCCCUCUCUCCUCCGUCUCUUCUUCUCCCCCUGUUCGUGGGGGGGAGUUUGGGGAAGGAGGAGGCCCAUCACGGGCCAAACUGGGCCGUUGGGCCCAGUCCAUUGCAGGCCCAACUUGGGCCCAGUCCAGUCCGGUUGGGCCCAGUUGGGCAAUACCCCCAUGGGCCCAACUUGGAUCCAGAUCAAACCCGAGAAUCCGAACCCGAACUCGAACCUGAAACCAAUAAACAGAUUUUUUUGCAGUUAAGCCCUUGGCAGUAUGCUAUUUCAGAAAUAGGGACUCCUGUAAUUUGUAUUUGAUCCCUAUAGGAAAGAUUUAUUACAUAAAGGCCCCCAACUAUAUUUAUUUAGUCCCCUCACUCAAGUUUUAUUAUAGAAUAGUACCCUGUAAUUAAGUAUUAGUCCCUGCAAUAAAUCUUAUUGCAUAAAUGAACAAAUUAGAGGCCAACCUUGGGAGGGCCCUAUUGGGCCGAGUCUAUGUGGGCCCAUUGGGCCGUGUCUGAUGUGGGCCCUAUCGGGCCAUGUU
rnacentral:lncRNA from 1 species